AAAAACAAAACAAAACAAAACAAAAUACAGAAACAUAAGGAACAAAGUUUUAAAAAAUACAACAAUGGGACCGGCUGCGGAGCUGCAGCCGCCCUUCGCACCCUCCUCGCCCUCACCACCGACAUCACGCUCCAGUUCCUGCUUGGAUUUACAUUGGGCAACGUGGUUGGAAUGCAUCUGGCUCAGAACUAUGACAUACCAAAUCCUGGCUAAAAAACUUGAAGAAAUUAAAAAGGACUUGGAUGCCAAGAAGAAAACCCCUAGUUCAUGAGACUGCCUCCAGCACUGCCUUCGGGAUACACUGAUUCUACUGCUCUUGAGGGCCUCCUUUACCAUCUGAACCAAAAGCUUUUGUUUUCAUCUUCAGCCUCAGCGCUCCUCUUCUUUGCUAGACCCUGCGUUUUUUGCUUUAGAGCAAGCAAAAUGGGACCCCAAUUUGAGAGCUACCCUACAUUUCCAACAUAUUCACCUCUUCCUGUAUUCCCCUUCUAACUGCACAGGAGGUUCUAAGACUGGAUUUAUGGUGCUAGAUUAGUAAACAUGACUUUU